GAUGAACGCUGGCGGCGUGCCUAAUACAUGCAAGUCGAGCGAACGGACGAGAAGCUUGCUUCUCUGAUGUUAGCGGCGGACGGGUGAGUAACACGUGGAUAACCUACCUAUAAGACUGGGAUAACUUCGGGAAACCGGAGCUAAUACCGGAUGAUAUUUUGAACCGCAUGGUUCAAAAGUGAAAGACGGUCUUGCUGUCACUUAUAGAUGGAUCCGCGCUGCAUUAGCUAGUUGGUAAGGAAACGGCUUACCAAGGCAACGAUGCAUAGCCGACCUGAGAGGGUGAUCGGCCACACUGGAACUGGGACACGGUCCAGACUCCUACGGGAGGCAGCAGUAGGGAAUCUUCCGCAAUGGGCGAAAGCCUGACGGAGCAACGCCGCGUGAGUGAUGAAGGUCCUCGGAUCGUAAAACUCUGUUAUUAGGGAAGAACAUAUGUGUAAGUAACUGUGCACAUCUUGACGGUACCUAAUCAGAAAGCCACGGCUAACUACGUG
rnacentral:rRNA from 1 species